rnacentral:misc_RNA from 1 species
GCUUCUGGGAAUUCUAUAUGUUAUUUGCAUCAAUGUUAUUGUCACAAGCAUCAUAUGUCUCUUAAUCCAACUGGUUGUGCCUCUGAGAAUGUCUGACGAGGAUAUGGCAAUUGGUGAUGAAGCUGCUCACGGGGAAGAAGCUUAUGCUAUUUGGGGUGAUGGAGAUAGGCAGGAGAGCUCUUGGUUUCCCAAUUCAGGUAAUCCUGAAACUGAAUUGCCUGUUACUAAAAGGAAGGCAGCUGCUGGUGGCCAAGUUGAGAUGACAUAAGAUGUGUUGUAUUUUAACAAGACGAUAUUAAUGUUUGCCUGGAAGUUAUUUUCUUUUCUCCUCUUUUUGCCAGUGAACAUCGUACCUGUUGUUUUUUCUGAUU